UUUAGCUCAGUGGUAGAGGGCCUGGGUUCAGUCUCCACCUCCGAAAAAAAGAAAAAAAAAUCACUGAUCUAGGCAGGGAUGUGUGUGUGUGUGUGUGUAUGCUUGUGUGUGUGUGUGUGUGUGUUGUGCAUGUCUGUGAAUGUGGUACAUGUGUGUGUGUUUGUGUGUACAGGUAUGCUUGUGUGUGUGUGUGUGUGUGUGUGUGUACAGGUAUGCUUGUAUGUGUAUGUAUAGUGUGAGGGUUGGUAAGUGGGUGUAAGGUUGGGUAGGGAUGGUGUGUGUACUUAUGUGUGUGUGGUAUAUGAUGAAUGUGGUACUUGUGUAUAUAUGUAUGGUGUGUAUAUGCUGUGGUGUGUAUAUCUUUGUGUGUGUGUGUGUGUGUGUGUAUGUGAGUGUUUGUGUGUGUGUGUGUGUGAUGGGAGGGGGAGUCCCAGUCAUAAGGUGGGGGUCAUACAUUUUCUAUAUGGUUAAACAGGUCUAGCAGAGAAUGGGAAACAAGCUUCCAUUCCUAUUCAGGAAAGGAAAUCAGGGACACCCAAUAGGCAAGGAGUCUAAGGAUGGAGCCUGUUGCUGAGACUAGACCUCUAGGGCAACAGGAAAUGCAAUUGCUGUCACAAGAGAUGGACACUCAGCCUGGCUUCCUGGGUCCCAGGUGUAGGCAAGCAGGACCAGUUCUUUUCCUUGGUAAGCCAUGAAUUCUGUCUCGGUCAGAACUAGCUAAUGCCUGCAGGUUAGGACCCUGAGUGAGGUGAGUUGCAAAGAGAAGAAGUAGCAGGGAAUGGUGGUCUUGUGGCCGGGCAACGGUCUGGCUCCUGUUUCAUACUUGCCUUAUUUGUGUUUCUGAAACGUCCCCCAACUGGCCAAGAGAGACCAGUGGUCAGUGCGAGUCAGGGCCACUGGUGUGUCAAUUGUGGAAGCUGUGGACGCUACCAAAGAGGUGGAUACCCUCCUCAAGAUCCCCUCAUACCAGAGCUGAUAGGUACUGGAAUUAGUAAGAUAGCAGACCCAAUCAGAUUUCUGUCAUGGUGACCUAAAUGCGAGGAGUCUGCCCUUCACAUCCCAAGGACAUGUCCAUUCAGUGAACAGUUGCUGUCACUAAAGUUUAAAAAAAAUCUUCAAAUAAUUUUCUGGAAGUUCUUGACCAAUAAAUUUAAAACAUGGGUUAAUUAUUAGAUGCAAAGUCUGAUGCUGGCCCAUGUCUCAAUGGGUCAUUACUCCUACAUAUGAACUAUGUUCGUCAUGAACCUUAUUGUAUGACUCUGAGGUCAUUCCAUC
ensembl:lncRNA